CGAAGGACCCGAGCGUUAUCCGGAUUUAUUGGGUUUAAAGGGUGCGUAGGCGGAUUAGUAAGUCAGUGGUGAAAGCCCAUCGCUUAACGGUGGAACUGCCAUUGAUACUGCUAGUCUUGAGUAUGGUUGAGGUGGGCGGAAUGUGUCAUGUAGCGGUGAAAUGCUUAGAUAUGACCCAGAACACCAAUUGCGAAGGCAGCUCGCUAAGCCAUAACUGACGCUGAUGCACGAAAGCGUGGGGAGCAAACAGGAUUAGAUACCCUGGUAGUCCACGCCCUAAACUAUGAUCACUCGUUGUUGGCGAUACACAGUCAGCGACUAAGGGAACCAUUAAGUGAUCCACCUGGGGAGUACGACCGCAAGGUUG
rnacentral:rRNA from 1 species